UACGAGGGGGGCGAGCGUUGUUCGGAAUUAUUGGGCGUAAAGGGUGCGUAGGCGGUUUGGUAAGUCUGAUGUGAAAUCUAUGGGCUCAACUCAUAGUCUGCAUCGGAAACUGCCGGGCUUGAGUGUGGGAGAGGUGAGUGGAAUUCCAGGUGUAGCGGUGAAAUGCGUAGAUAUCUGGAGGAACACCGGUGGCGAAGGCGGCAUCCUGGACCAACACUGACACUGAUGAGCGAAAGCCAGGGGAGCAAACGGG
rnacentral:rRNA from 1 species